GAGAUGGUUGUGGGUGCGUUGGUUCUUCAACACCUCCUUCGCUCCCUAAUAAAGACAAUGGGGUAGUGUCGAUACCGACACCAGUUAAGCACAUUGAAACGACCAUAAGGACUACUUAUACAGAUUCGGAUUCAGAAGAGAACGUUGGCGAUGAUCCACAUGAAAGGCAGUCGACUGGUGAUGGGAUUGGGGAUGAGAGUGCCAUGCGUUAACUAAAGUUCGGUCCAUGUGUUAUCCAAUAAGACAGGGAGGCGUGCGACAGCUACUACGUUUUUCCAUUUAUGUUUCAUGUUUUUUUAUUUUGGAAGACAUCUUUUCCCCCUUUUUUUUGGCACACGAGUUAUGCUAACAGAACAAAUUACGAUCCAUGGUUUAAUAAAGUUUUAGCAUGCCUCUU
rnacentral:lncRNA from 1 species